rnacentral:tRNA from 1 species
AGGGAUAUAGCUCAGUGGUAGAGUGCGAGUCUAGCAUGCACAAGCCUGGGGUUCAAAUCACAAUACCCCAA